ACGCUGCAGCGAUGCCUCGCCCACGGCGGGUCAGUCAGCUCCUGGAUCUAUGCUACUGGACUUGAAUGGUUAAUAAAAUUGCACAAUGUUGUUGGUGGCAGUGACUUCUUUCUGUUCAGAUGCCUUUGGUGCUUCAUGAAGAAUAUUUCCAGAUAUCUCACAGACAUUAAGCCUUUGCCUCCCAACAUAAAAGACAGACUGAUUAAAAUAAUGAGUAUGCAGGGACAGAUAACAGAUUCAAAUAUAAGUGAGAUUUUACAUCCUGAAGUCCAAACUCUAGAUCUACGGAGCUGCGAUAUAUCAGAUGCUGCUCUCCUGCACCUGUCUAACUGUAGAAAACUGAAGAAAUUAAAUUUAAAUGCUUCAAAAGGGAACCGAGUUUCUGUAACUUCAGAAG
rnacentral:lncRNA from 1 species